UACGUAGGGGGCUAGCGUUGUCCGGAAUCAUUGGGCGUAAAGAGCGUGUAGGCGGUCCGGUAAGUCCGCUGUGAAAGUCGGGGGCUCAACCCUCGAAUGCCGGUGGAUACUGCUGGGCUCGAGUCCGGAAGAGGCGAGUGGAAUUCCUGGUGUAGCGGUGAAAUGCGCAGAUAUCAGGAGGAACACCGAUGGCGAAGGCAGCUCGCUGGGACGGUACUGACGCUGAGGCGCGAAAGCGUGGGGAGCAAACAGG
rnacentral:rRNA from 1 species